GCCGGUGUGGCUCAAUGGACUGAGCAUCGGCCUGUGGACUGGAGGGUCCCAGGUUCGAUUCCGGGCAAGGGCA
rnacentral:tRNA from 1 species